rnacentral:lncRNA from 1 species
AACUAAUAUCCUUAAAAGAGUUGAAAUAUUGUCAACAGGUUCGGAAAAAUAUUCUCGUGCAGUCUGUUUGGUAAACAGGCGGUGGUAUCAGCUGAUCCAAUGUUUAAUCGAUUUGUAAUGCAAAAUGAAGGCAAACUAUUCCAGUCGUGCUAUCCAAAAUCUUUCAGAGACUUGGUGGGGAAAAAUGGGGUGAUCACAGUACAAGGGGAGCAUCAAAGGAAGCUUCAUUCUAUCGCCUCCAACCUGAUGCGGUUAGACAAGCUCAAGUCCCAAUUCUUGCACGAUAUACAAAUAGUUAUGCGCGAAAUCUUCAAUAAUUUGCACGACAAACAAGUCAUUCUACUGCAAGAUGUCUGUAGAAAGGUAAUACCAUAUUCUGAGUUUAUUCAUUUCUAUUCGACCCCUGUAUAGUAUACUUCUGCCUACUUUGAUUCUAUGUUCUUAGCGUUAAAUCAGUAUACAUGAUCGAGAAUUUCUAAUUUUCAUUUACCUUCAGAUAGCCAUUAACUUGAUGGUUAAUCAACUGCUGGGUGUGUCGUCUGAAUCAGAGGUGAACGAGAUUGCUCAGUUGUUCUCUGAUUUCGUUGAUGGUUGUCUUUCCGCUCCUAUCAAUUUGCCAGGAUUCUCUUAUCACACUGCAAUGAAGGUGACAACUUAAUUUACCAAAUAACAUUUAAACUCAUUAGACCAUUUGAGAUUCUGAAUUGUACCGUUCCUAAUUUAACAUAACAGGCACGUGAAAGUAUAAUAAGCAAGAUCAAUAGUUCAAUAAAGAUCCAUCGAAAACAAUCCUCUCCAGCAAUUGGCAAUGGUGUACUGAGAAGGCUACUAGAGGAAGAAAGCUUACCUGAUGAUGCUGUUGCAGACUUUAUUAUUAACCUCCUUUUUGCUGGCAACGAGACGACUGCUAAGACCAUGCUUUUUGCUGUUUAUUUCCUCACUCAAUGCCCCAGAGCCAUGAAGCAAUUGCUGGUACAGACAGAUUUUCUUUUUGAAUUUGUAAGUCUUUCUAUUAAGAUCAGGGAAAAGGGCGUCCUUUUCUUUCACUGACUUCCAGCACUUUUUUUUACUUCCUUCUGCACUUGAGAAUAGGAUGAGCAACAGAGUCUAAGGAGCCAAAGGAGUAUCUUGGAUGGAGAGAUGCUCGAAUGGCAAGAUUAUAAACCUAUGUCUUUUACUCAAUGUGUAUGUCAUCUGCUCUCGUCUUGUCUCUCCAC